GCUCAGCUAUUUUUUCGAGUGACUGUACAGCUGCUAUAAAGACACAACUUCAAUGAAAUUUUACUUGAACAAACUGCUCUCUAGAGGGCGUGGAUAUAGAGUAGAGCUAGUUACCAGUGAUGUCAAAGUUUACCGUGACUUCCGUUUGGUGAAGUGAUUGAUCUUUCUACCGUCUUUUUCUAUGACCAAUACUCUCAUGGCAAAUAGCACGUUUAGAUUUCUUGAAACUUGCUGCAGAAUUUAAUUCUUGUAAGCAAAAACCAAUUUGUUUUACAUCGUCACAUUUCUAUAUAAAUGUUUCCUUACUGAUACACUCGCUUACUUUGAUCAAAGUAUUUUGACAAAUAAACAAAGUAUUUUGAUAAACGCCAACAGAUCUUCAAGGCGCAUGCCUGAGUGUUAUUCUGGAGUCAGGGUCUGACGAAACUAAUCACUCUCUCGCAAGCUGGUCUCGAACUAAAGAGGACUCUUUAAAAAUUGCCUGUUACAACCAAUUUACUCUUGUAUAUCAACAUACAGAUAUGAGACAUAUACUAACACUGGAACAGAAAGCAGCAAUAAAUUAUAUUGUAUUCAUUUGGAAAUUUGUUGACAAAAGACCCUCAAAAAAAGACUCUUGGUACCCAUGUGAUGUACAAAUGAGAUCAGCAUUGAUAAAAUUACGUAAGAUAAUUUCUGCAUCCAAGUUACCCAAACCGUUGAUGCAAUAUGUUUUGUCCCCAAUAAACGAUUAUGAUAUGUUGGAAAAACACGCCUUUGAUUUUUAUGGUGAUUUUGAAGAUCAUCCGUCCGAGUAUUUAGAAACUUUUAUUCAUGAUCUAGAAAGAAAAUAUAUCGAAAAGAAACUUAAGCAAAAGAAAAACAAAAAGUGAAAAGAUUUAUUUUCAUUUCUAAAAAGGACAUGUGUUAAUGCAUUUCUCACCUAAUAUAAAAUCUAUUCUUCAUUAUUUCUGUUACAUAAUAUUCAAAUUUUGUGUGUUUGGCUUCAGCAUAAAAUUUAACAGUGGUAUAGAUCAUUACCAUUCAUUUUAUUAUGCAGAGGAACCAGUACCAUAAUAUAAUAGCAUUUAUAUGAAUGCAAUUAUGUAAAUAUACUGCACUUUUAACUCUCGUAUUUUUAUAAAGUGUACCAUAUUUCCAUUUGUUAAGGACUUCAGAUCUUUAGUAUGCAUGAAUUUCUGUUUUCAUUUCUAUUCUGAAAUUUAAUAUCUUUAAAUGUAGAAAUAGCGACAAGAUUUGUGCACAGAUCAAAAUUUUAAUAUUAUUAAGUGAAGUGUUUUAAUCACAUGGUGAAAUCUUCAUUUUAAAAUUGUGUGAUUAAAGUCUUAUUUUUUUUCCUUCUGAAGAAGGUAGAAAAAGAAGAUAUUUGCUAACUGUAAUAUUGUGCAAGAUUUUUUUUUUAUUGAACGGUUUCUCUAGUCUUUAUACUGCUACCCCUUUUAGAAUAAAGUUUUAUAAUUAACUUUUAAGAGCAAUUGUUGUAAAAUGCUAUUUUAGUUUUUAUUCCAAAUUCAACAAGAAUGUAUGUAAUGAACCAAUUUGCCUACUACUGAAAUAUAUUGCCCUAAAAACUUGCAUGAAAGUGAGUUUCAUAUUUAUAAUAAUAAUCUGAAAGUUAAUUUUAUAUUAACUUUGUACUGUUUUAAAUUUUUAAAGAUUUUAAAAACUUAUUGUUCUGUUUUUACCCUGUGCAAAGUUUUAAAAAGAAAGUAUUAGAUAAUGUUUCAUAUUGUGUAUAUUACUAUGAAAUAAAAUUUCUAAAAAUAUUUA
rnacentral:misc_RNA from 1 species